rnacentral:rRNA from 1 species
GUCUACGGCCACGCCAUCCUGAACGUGCCCGAUCCCGUCUGAUCUCAGAAGCUCAGCAGGGUCGGGCCUGGUUAGUACUUGGACAGGAGACCACCUAGGAAGACUGGGUGCCAUAGGCG